UAGAGUUUGAUCAUGGCUCAGAUUGAACGCUGGCGGUAUGCUUAACACAUGCAAGUCGAACGGAAACGAUACUAGCUUGCUAGUAGGCGUCGAGUGGCGGACGGGUGAGUAACGCGUAGGAAUCUACCAGAUAGUGGGGGAUAGCCCGGAGAAAUUCGGAUUAAUACCGCAUAAUCUCUACGGAGUAAAGGAGGCCUCUAUUUAUAUGCUUUCGCUAUCUGAUGAGCCUGCGUAAGAUUAGCUAGUUGGUGAGGUAAAAGCUCACCAAGGCGACGAUCUUUAGCUGGUCUGAGAGGAUGAUCAGCCACACUGGGACUGAGACACGGCCCAGACUCCUACGGGAGGCAGCAGUGGGGAAUAUUGGACAAUGGGGGCAACCCUGAUCCGGCAAUACCGCGUGUGUGAAGAAGGCCUGAGGGUUGUAAAGCACUUUCAAUUGUGAA
rnacentral:rRNA from 1 species